AAUUUAAAAUUGAGUUCUAUAUGCAAUAAUUCUGUCUGUGAUGCGUGAUUACUAAAUGCAGUACUAUAGAAAGGACUUAAAUGACUUGGUUUAUUUUGUAGAGAAUAAAAAUAACUUAAAAGUACAUAUCGUGUCCUCAGUUCAGAUGGAUGUCCAGUGUCUAUGGUCGUCUCUGCCCCUGGACUUGGUCAAAGCUCCUCAGCAGAUGUUUCAGAGAAUCCUGAGGCGUUUAGAACAAGUUCAGGGUUCUGGACUCUUUUUGACAACUACAAUGCAUCUUAAGUUAAAACAUUUGCUCUGUUCUGUGAAGACAGAUCAACAAGCUGCUUGAGACAACGCACAAAUCCA
rnacentral:miRNA from 1 species